UGGUGGAGUGAUUUGUCUGGUUAAUUCCGUUAACGAACGAGACCUCGACCUACUAAAUAGUUGACUAAACUCUUCGGGGUUUGGAUUGACUUCUUAGAGGGACUUUUGGUUGAGUAGCCAAAGGAAGUUCGAGGCAAUAACA
rnacentral:rRNA from 1 species